rnacentral:rRNA from 1 species
CGGGAAAAGCUCAAAUUUGAAAGCUGGCGUCUUCGGCGUCCGCGUUGUAAUCUCGAGAAGCGUUUUCCGCGCAGGACCAUGUACAAGUUCCUUGGAAUAGGACGUCAUAGAGGGUGAAAAUCCCGUACUUGACAUGGAUGCCCUGUGCUUUGUGAUACGCUCUCCAC